CUCCUCCCGCACUCCCGCCGCCCCGUCUUCUCUUCGUCCCGCCUCGCCCCUCUCUCUCCCUCCAAACCCUACCCCGCGCACGCCUCCCUACCCCGCCGCCAUCUCCUUCGCCGCCGGGAGCUCGCGCGGGAUGACUGCCGCGGGGUUCCUGGUGGGCUUCCUCCUCGGCCUGCUCGCGCUCACGGAGGCCGAGGCGGCCGCGCUGCUCUAGUUCGUGCUCCGCCUCCGCCGCCGGCGCGGAUCCGGUGGACUCGGACGGCUCCUCUCCGUCUCCUCCCUCGCCCAUACGUGUGGUUCCGCUUCCCGCCGGCCACGAGGUGCAGCCUUGCAGGGGCGCAUCGGGCUGGGCCUCUGUUUCCGAUAUGGUGCAGCAGCUGCUGUGGGGUUGAGGUGUUCUGGCAACAGUAGGAGCUCCGGGCCCGUCCAGGUCUGUCCAGUGCUCCAUCUAUGCUGAUUUUCAGAAACGGUUGCCCAGAGAGAUCUCCAUGAAGCAUUGCGCCUGAUGCAGAUGUCAAAGUAUUCAAUCUACUCUGUGACCACCAGCGGUGUAGUCUUGGUACAUAUACUGCAUCCUGAGAGAUAAAGCAGCAAGGACUAGCAGCAUGGAUGUGAAAUAUGGUCAUGCUCUUAACCUGAUCUCCAGAAAGAUUUCUAUAUCUCCUGAAGCAAGAAGAGUAUUUUGAUGGAGCACAAUUGAUGUAGAUUCAAACUACUCUCAUGUGAGGAUUUGUUCUGCUAUACAUUUUCCUUUCAUUUGCCAUCCAGGUUGUGUUCAAGUGAUAGGUGGCAUUGCAAAUUAUGACCAUUUUAAAUGUUGUUUAGUGAGCCUCCAUCCGCCAAUUGGAAAUAAACUGAGGGACCUGAAGUUUCAUCUAUUAGGAGAAGCCGGUGCUUGUGCGGGUUGCCGGAUUAAUCAAGAUGGAAGCUGAUGCAAUUAGAGUCCCAUCGGUACCAUUGCCUGUGACCAUGAUGCAGACAUUCACUCUAGGAUUUGAGAUUUUCUUUUCUCAUCCCCUACGAUAGAUUAUAGCUCAAGGAGUGAAUUCAUCCACGUCUACAUAUUUUCAUCUUUUGUUGUGUUUUGGCAUAACCAUUAUUUGAUUUGAGUUUUUGUAAGCGUGCUGAAGUCUUAUUGAUUGUGUUCCUGCAAAUAAACAUGAUCACCAAAUGGGCGUCUUCUGAAA